rnacentral:tRNA from 1 species
GUUCUUGUAGUUGAAUAACAACGGUGGUUCUUCAAAUCGUUGGUCUCGGUUAGAAUCCGGGCAGGAAUU